rnacentral:rRNA from 1 species
UAGGGAAUCUUCCGCAAUGGACGCAAGUCUGACGGAGCAACGCCGUGUGAGUGAAGAAGGAUUUCGGUUCGUAAAACUCUGUUGUUAGAGAAGAACAGCGCAUAGAGUAACUGUUAUGCGUGUGACGGUAUCUAACCAGAAAGCCACGGCUAACUACGUGCCAGCAGCCGCGGUAAUACGUAGGUGGCAAGCGUUGUCCGGAUUUAUUGGGCGUAAAGCGAGCGCAGGCGGUCAAUUAAGUCUGAUGUGAAAGCCCCCGGCUCAACCGGGGAGGGUCAUUGGAAACUGGUUGACUUGAGUGCAGAAGAGGAGAGUGGAAUUCCACGUGUAGCGGUGAAAUGCGUAGAUAUAUGGAGGAACACCAGUGGCGAAGGCGACUCUCUGGUCUGUAACUGACGCUGAGGCUCGAAAGCGUGGGUAGCAAACAGG